AUGUACCUUAUGUUGCCCUCUCCUUUUUUAGCUGCCCUCCUCCUCUGUGGGUUGUAGGGAACUGGAAACUUGGCAAACCAGCACUGUCCUAUCUGUCUGCCUGCAUUUAUGGUAUAACAGACAGUAAACACAUUAAAGGGUUCACCAAUUACUGGCCACUGUGUCUAUCUGUCCAUUUAUCUAAAAUAUUUAUAGAGCAGCUUAGGUGAUGGGUUGUCUGCCUGAAAAACAGUCUGCUGUUAGUACAAAUUAAAGGAGUUUGGAUAUUGA